AUACGUAGGGGGCGAGCGUUGUCCGGAAUUACUGGGUGUAAAGGGCGUGUAGGCGGGGGUACAAGUUACCGGUAAAAACCCGAGGCUUAACUUCGGGCUUGCCGAUAAAACUGUAUCUCUUGAGUGUAGGAGAGGGAAUCGGAAUUCCCGGAGUAGCGGUGCAAUGCGUAGAUACCGGGAGGAACACCAGUGGCGAAGGCGGAUUCCUGGCCUACAACUGACGCUGAGGCGCGAAAGCUGGGGUAGCAAACGGGAUUAGAUACCCCGGUAGUCCCAGCUGUAAACGAUGGUCACUAGGUGUGGGUGGUGGUCAAGCCAUCCGUGCCGGAGUUAACGCAAUAAGUGACCCACCUGGGGAGUACGACCGCAAGGUUGAAACUCAAAUGAAUUGACGGGG
rnacentral:rRNA from 1 species